rnacentral:tRNA from 1 species
CCGUCGAUAGCUCAGUUGGUAGAGCGGUGGACUGUAUAGUAGUGAGAACUGUGGAAAUACAUAGGUCGCUGGUUCGAAUCCGGCUCGACGGA